rnacentral:rRNA from 1 species
UUUUAUUUGAGAGUUUGAUCCUGGCUCAGGAUGAACGCUGGCGGCGUGCCUAACACAUGCAAGUUGAGCGAUUUACUUCGGUAAAGAGCGGCGGACGGGGGAGUAACGCGUGGGUAACCUACCCUGUACACACGGAUAACAUACCGAAAGGUAUGCUAAUACGGGAUAAUAUAUUUGAGAGGCAUCUCUUGAAUAUCAAAGGUGAGCCAGUACAGGAUGGACCCGCGUCUGAUUAGCUAGUUGGUAAGGUAACGGCUUACCAAGGCG